rnacentral:rRNA from 1 species
GGGCAAGCUACUAAGGGCUUGCGGUGGAUGCCUAGGCGCCAAGGGCCGAUGAAGGACGUGGCACACUGCGAUAAGCCUCGGGGAGGCGUGUGCAGCCGUUGAUCCGAGGAUCUCCGAAUGGGGAAACCCGCCGUGGCGAACCCACGGCACCCCUGGCUGAACCCAUAGGCCAGGUGGAGGGAACCCGGGGAACUGAAACAUCUUAGUACCCGGAGGAAAAGAGAUUAUUCCCCUAGUAGUGGCGAGCGAACGGGGAGUAGCCCAAACCCGUAUGACUUAGUGGUCGGCAGGCCUAUGUCAUACGGGGGUUGGAGGCCCCGCCAGGAGGGUCUGCCGGUCCUCCAGGGAGUUACAAACCGGCCCGCUAGCCGAAUGGUAUGGAAAGGCCAGCCAAAGAGGGUGAUAGCCCCGUAGGCGAAAGCGGAGUCGGCUCCCGGCGGUGAGCCUGAGUACCACGGGACACGGGGAAUCCCGUGGGAAGCCGGGAAGACCACUUCCCAAGGCUAAAUACCCUUGGCGACCGAUAGUGCACAAGUACCGUGAGGGAAAGGUGAAAAGCACCCCGGUGAGGGGAGUGAAAUAGAACCUGAAACCGCAAGCCUACAAGCAGUCGGAGGGCUAAUAGCGUGUCGGUGUCCCCGGGAGACCGGGUGACGCGGCGCUAGGCCUGACGGCGUGCCUUUUGGAGAAUGAGCCUGCGAGUCAAUCUCGGUGGCGAGGCUAAGGGAGUGACACCCGGAGCCGUAGCGAAAGCGAGUCUGAACAGGGCGUUCAGUCGCCGGGAUUGGGCACGAAACCGGGCGAGCUACCCAUGGGCAGGGUGAAGGCGGGGUAAAACCCGCUGGAGGCCCGAACCGGUUGGCGUUGCAAAGCCAUCGGAUGACCUGUGGGUAGAGGUGAUAUGCCAAUCGAGCCCGGAGAUAGCUUGUUCUCCCCGAAAUAGCUUUAGGGCUAGCGUCGCGUGUUCAGUGCCGGAGGUAGAGCACUGGAUGGGCUAGGGGCCUUAUCGGUUACCGAACCCAACCAAACUCCGAAUGCCGGUACUCCACAGCGCGGCAGUCGGACCGCGGGAGAUGAGUUCCGUGGUCGAGAGGGAAACAGCCCAGACCAUCGGCUAAGGUCCCCAAGUCCAGGCUAAGUGGGAAACGAGGUGGGGCUGCUGAGACAACCAGGAGGUUGGCUUAGAAGCAGCCAUCCUUUAAAGAGUGCGUAACAGCUCACUGGUCAAGUGGCCCUGCGCGGAAAAUGUAACGGGGCUUAAGCCUGGCACCGAAGCCAUGGGUCUCCGCUGCCUGCGGGUAGCGGGGGCGGUAGGGGAGCGUUCUGCACGCGGCGAAGCCGUACCGCGAGGAGCGGUGGAGCGUGCAGAAGUGAGAAUGCAGGCACGAGUAGCGUACAGACGCGUGAGAACCGCGUCCGCCGAAAGUCCAAGGUUUCCGACGGAAGGUCAAUCCGCGUCGGGUUAGGCGGGAGCUAAGGCGAGGCCGAGAGGCGUAGCCGAUGCACAGCCGGUCAACAUUCCGGCCCCACCCAGGUGGAGCGAUGGGGGGACGCGGCGAGGUAGGCCAGCCAGCGAUUGGUCGUGCUGGUGCCAAGCGUGUAGGCGAUGAAGCCCGUAGGCAAAUCCGCGGGCCGAGCCGAGGCGUGAUGGCGAGCCCUUGAGGCAUAAGUGGCUGAACCCCGCCGCCGAGAAAAGCCUCUAAGUGUUGAAGCCUGGGUGCCCGUACCGCAAACCGACACUGGUGGACGGGUAGAGAAUACCAAGGCGAACGGGAGAACCCUCGCUAAGGAACUCGGCAAAUUGGCCCCGUAACUUCGGGAGAAGGGGUGCCUCGGUAGGGUGAAGGCCCUUGCGGCUGGAGCCCGAGGAGGUCGCAGCGAACAGGCUCUGGGGACUGGUUACCAAAACCACAGGUCUCUGCAAAGCCGUAAGGCGAUGUAUAGGGGCUGACGCCUGCCCAGUGCCGGAAGGUUAAGGGGAGGGGUUAGCCGCCUUCGGGCGGCGAAGCUCCGAACCGAAGCCCCGGUGAACGGCGGCCGUAACUAUAACGGUCCUAAGGUAGCGAAAUUCCUUGUCGGGUAAGUUCCGACCCGCACGAA